rnacentral:rRNA from 1 species
GACGAACGCUGGCGGCGUGCUUAACACAUGCAAGUCGUACGGUAAGGCCCUUUCGGGGGUACACGAGUGGCGAACGGGUGAGUAACACGUGAGUAACCUGCCCACAACUUUUGGAUAACGCUAGGAAACUGGUGCUAAUACUGGUUAUGUGCUCCUGCUGCAUGGUGGGGGUUGGAAAGCUCCGGCGGUGGUGGAUGGACUCGCGGCCUAUCGGCUUGUUGGUGGGGUAGUGGCCUACCAAGGCGGCGACGGGUAGCCGGCCUGAGGGGGUGACCGGCCACAUUGGGACUGAGAUACGGCCCAGACUCCUACGGGAGGAAGCAGUGGGGAAGAUUGAACAAUGGGCGCCAGCCGGAUGCAGCAGCGCCGCGUGCGGGAUGACGGCCUUCGGGUUGUAAAACGCUUUCAGCAGGGACGAAGCUUUUUGUGACGGUACCUGCAGAAGAAGCACCGGCUAACUACGUG